rnacentral:miRNA from 1 species
CAAGGGAAGAUAUCUGUAUG